rnacentral:rRNA from 1 species
UACGUAGGGUGCGAGCGUUGUCCGGAAUUAUUGGGCGUAAAGCGCGCGCAGGCGGUCUCUUAAGUCUGAUGUGAAAGCCCACGGCUCAACCGUGGAGGGUCAUUGGAAACUGGGGGACUUGAGUACUGGAGAGGAGAGUGGAAUUCCAUGUGUAGCGGUGAAAUGCGUAGAUAUUGGGAGGAACACCAGUGGCGAAGGCGGCUCACUGGACCGGAACUGACGCUGAGGCGCGAAAGCGUGGGGAGCAAACAGG